rnacentral:rRNA from 1 species
AGCGCAGGCGGACCGGCAAGUUGGAAGUGAAAACUAUGGGCUCAACCCAUAAAUUGCUUUCAAAACUGCUGGCCUUGAGUAGUGCAGAGGUAGGUGGAAUUCCCGGUGUAGCGGUGGAAUGCGUAGAUAUCGGGAGGAACACCAGUGGCGAAGGCGACCUACUGGGCACCAACUGACGCUGAGGCUCGAAAGCAUGAGUAGCAAACA